GGAGUUGUGGCUCAGAGGCAGAGCACUCGCCUAACACGCGUGAGGCACUGGGUUCGAUUCUCAGCACCA
rnacentral:tRNA from 1 species